rnacentral:rRNA from 1 species
UACGUAGGGUGCGAGCGUUGUCCGGAAUUAUUGGGCGUAAAGAGCUUGUAGGCGGUUUGUCGCGUCUGCUGUGAAAAUCCGGGGCUCAACCCCGGACUUGCAGUGGGUACGGGCAGACUAGAGUGUGGUAGGGGGGACUGGAAUUCCUGGUGUAGCGGUGAAAUGCGCAGAUAUCAGGAGGAACACCGAUGGCGAAGGCAGGUCUCUGGGCCACUACUGACGCUGAGAAGCGAAAGCAUGGGGAGCGAACAGG